rnacentral:rRNA from 1 species
GAUGAACGCUAGCGGCGUGCUUAAUACAUGCAAGUCGAGCGAACAGAUGAGGAGCUUGCUCCACUGACGUUAGCGACGGACGGGCGAGUAAAUCAUGGGUAACCUACCUAUAAGACUGGGAUAAAUUAGGGAACCAGGAGCUAAUAACGACUAUUAUAUUGACCCUCACGGUUCACUAGUGAAAGACGGCUUUGCUGUCACUUAUAUAUGGAUCCGCGCCGCUUUAGCUAGUUGGGAAGGUAACGCCUUACCAAUGCAACGAUGGGUAGCCGACCUGAGAUGGUAAUAGGGCACACCGCAACUGAGAUACGGUCCAGACUCCAACGGGAGGCAGCAGUGGGGAAUGUACCACAAUGGACGAAAGCUAGACGUAGCAACGCCGCGUGAGGGAUAGAGUUAUUCGGAUCUUAAAUCUCUGUUAUUAUGGAAGAACAAAUAUGUAAGUAACUAUGCACGUCUUGACGGUACCGAAUCAGAAAGCCACGGCUAACUACGUG